GGGGAAUAUUGCACAAUGGGCGCAAGCCUGAUGCAGCCAUGCCGCGUGUGUGAAGAAGGCCUUCGGGUUGUAAAGCACUUUCAGUGGUGAGGAAGGUCAGUAAGUUAAUAGCUUGCUGAAUUGACGUUAGCCACAGAAGAAGCACCGGCUAACUCCGUGCCAGCAGCCGCGGUAAUACGGAGGGUGCAAGCGUUAAUCGGAAUUACUGGGCGUAAAGCGUACGUAGGCGGUGUGUUAAGCAAGAUGUGAAAGCCCCGGGCUCAACCUGGGAAUUGCAUUUUGAACUGGCACGCUAGAGUCCUGAAGAGGGUGGUAGAAUUUCCAGUGUAGCGGUGAAAUGCGUAGAUAUUGGAAGGAAUACCAGUGGCGAAGGCGGCCACCUGGUCAGAGACUGACGCUGAGGUACGAAAGCGUGGGGAGCAAAC
rnacentral:rRNA from 1 species